rnacentral:rRNA from 1 species
UAGGCGAGGUAAUGGAACUUUCGAGUGAAACUACCUUGCGGCUUCAUUUUAAACAUUAGUCAAAGUAUGUAAUGAAAUAUUAAACAAAAAAAACUUUACAACAACGGAUCUCUUGGCUCUCGCAUCGAUGAAGAACGCAGCGAAAUGUGAUAAGUAAUGUGAAUUGCAGAAUUCAGUGAAUCAUCGAAUCUUUGAACGCACCUUGCGCUCCCUGGUAUUCCGGGGAGCAUGCCUGUUUGAGUGUCAUGAACUCUUCAACCCACCAGUUUCUAGUAGACUGCGUUGGUGUUUGGAUUUUGAGCGUUGCUAGUCUGACUAGCUCGUUCGUAAUACAUUAGCAUCUCUAAUUCGAAUUCGGAUUGACUCAGUGUAAUAGACUAUUCGCUGAGGACACUUUUAUUAGUGGCCGUACUAGAACCAGUAGAAGCUUCCAACUAUUGUAGUCAACUUUAAUUUAGACCUCAGAUCAGGCAGGAUUACCCGCUGAACUUAA